UACGUAGGUGGCAAGCGUUAUCCGGAUUUAUUGGGCGUAAAGCGCGCGUAGGCGGUUUUUUAAGUCUGAUGUGAAAUCCCCCGGCUCAACCGGGGAGGUGCAUUGGAAACUGGAAAGCUUGAGUGCAGAAGAGGAAAGUGGAAUUCCAGGUGUAGCGGUGAAAUGCGCAGAGAUAUGGAGGAACACCAGUGGCGAAGGCGACUUUCUGGACUGUAACUGACGCUGAGGUGCGAAAGCGUGGGUAUCAAACAGG
rnacentral:rRNA from 1 species